rnacentral:lncRNA from 1 species
UUUAAGUUACCUAGAAAAAACUAAGGAAAGAGACUAAAAUAUCCAACACAGGACAAAAUCACCACUGAACUAGACUCCAGAACAUUUUGUAACACACAGCAGCUAAACAGAUGGAGUUGGAGUAAACAUGCAAGCAAACGGUCUCACUCUUACAAACCAUAAAGUAAAUCAGAAUAAUUCAGGUACUGAAAGGUCUGCAGCUUUGCAAAAACCAUAUCAAAGUUUCCAAUAAAGUUCUUAACAUGGUUAGACAUGGAUCCCUUUCCUUAGAAGCAGUGUCAUUGCUGUUUCUAGACGGCUAUGAUAUUCAGGUACUGAAUUGGAUAGACUACCAUUUCUCAAGGCAGUAUAGACUACCAUUUCUCAAGGCAGUAUAGACUACCGACUAGGUCACUAGGCAGGACAUUUCAGUCAGAUAUGGCUCCUAUAAAAAUUUUGUUAUCUUAGAAAACUUCACAUUACGAUGGCUUUAAAGAAUG